ensembl:lncRNA
AGAGCUGAGACACUCAGGACUGAACAGACUGCACAGUUUCUGUGACCGAGCCUCCAAAACACCUUCUUUGAAACCACUCAUGAUAGAAGGGCUUCAUAUUUGCAGCAGCACUACUACAGUUGGCAGGAAUGUUGCUGCAGGAAAACAUCCCUGGAGAUCACCAUCAUUGUCAGACUGACUGUGCCUCCUCUGUGCAGUGUCAAGAUCCUCUCUAAAUGAGUGUUCCUCAGCUAUCCUGCUUCUGUGCUGCUUGCCACACAUCAAACACUGGCCGGAUGACAGGGAGGAUCCACUCUGAAGUCACUGGACAUGAUGAGGAUCAUAUGGGACUUCAUAGUUUCACAGAAACAUUGUGCUCUGUGAUUACAGGUUUUAAAUGGACAUAAUGACUGCCUCUCUCUGAUCAACAGGCUAAAGGAUUGUUUUCAUUGUUAGUGCUCUGUACAAUGUAUGCUUAUUUAAUAUUUCAUCACAGAGCAAACCUUUAUUUAUUUAACAUUUUUUUAUUUUGUUUUAAUGUUGAAUUAACUGUGGGGAUUUUUUUAAGUGGGCACUUGGGAUGUCAUAUGACCAGAAAUGUGGUAACUGGAAUUCAACAGUAUGGAAGAAAAAAUCUGCUGAGAACGAAACACAUACAAAAACCCCCCAAGAAAAUUCAAAUUCAUUCCAUGUAAUCCAAUCUAAAACAUUUUAAACUGCUGAACAGCAACACAAACAGUGUUAAAAAACAGUGUUAACAGAAUGAUUAUGAUGAUUUUGUACCAAAGUUUCAGGUCACAUGGCACACCUAGUGUGUAGUGUGGGGUAUCAGCUGGUAAGUAUAGGUUUUUUCAUAUUUGUGUCCUUAGAGUUUAGAUAGAUAAAGCCUUGUGUAUAAUAAUUAGUCAUAACCACAACUCAAAGUCAGGGACUAACUAAAUUUGGGACUUUGUGUCUGAGCCCAGGUUAAAACAAUGUGUAAAAAAGCAUUUAGUGGCAUGGCUGAACAAUGCUGUAAACUAUUGAUACUUAUUUAUCCAUGUUCACAAAAAGGACUAAUGUGUUUAUUUGAUUAUUUGCAUGUGUUAAACUGUGUCACCACCUUAGGCUUUCAUUUGAGUUUACUCACAAAUCUCUAUACAGUUCUCUUUUACCACUGUGUGGAUUCUGUUUACAUUAAAACAUAAAAAAGAAUGAGUAAUAAAAAGAUGUGUAGACAGAUCAGAAGAUUAAGUAGACCGAUAGAAACAGCUGUUCAGCCAUGUUCUAAGAAACCAACACAAUUUAAAGGUUCAGGAUUGUGGUUUUAAAAGUUGAAUUUUCAUGUAUUUCAUAUGUUGCUCAUUAUUUUUUAUUUAGUUAUUUAAUUUAGUUAUUUUUCUUUAU